ACGAACGCUGGCGGCGCGCCUAACACAUGCAAGUCGAACGAGCGAGAGAGAGCUUGCUUUCUCGAGCGAGUGGCGAACGGGUGAGUAACGCGUGGGGAACCUGCCUCAAAGAGGGGGACAACAGUUGGAAACGACUGCUAAUACCGCAUAAGCCCACGGCCAGGCACCGAGCAGAGGGGAAAGGAGCAAUCCGCUUUGAGAUGGCCUCGCGUCCGAUUAGCUAGUUGGCGAGGUAACGGCCCACCAAGGCGACGAUCGGUAGCCGGACUGAGAGGUUGAACGGCCACAUUGGGACUGAGACACGGCCCAGACUCCUACGGGAGGCAGCAGUGGGGAAUAUUGCACAAUGGGGGAAACCCUGAUGCAGCGACGCCGCGUGGAGGAAGAAGGUCUUCGGAUUGUAAACUCCUGUUGUUGAGGAAGAUAAUGACGGUACUCAACAAGGAAGUGACGGCUAACUACGUGCCAGCCGCCGCCGUAA
rnacentral:rRNA from 1 species